rnacentral:lncRNA from 1 species
CAAAGAAAAGGAUUUGAUAGAAGAUUGGAUAGGGUUUCUAUGAGCAUUAGUUUUGGAUUAUUUGGAUCUGUAUUGAUUUUGUAAGAGCUUUGCAAAGUCAAGGUUUGUUUUGGAUAACUUGGAUUUUGUGAAAUAAAAUAAGAUUUAUAUUUUGGAUAAUUUCAAAAGUUUUGUAAUAAAUCUAUAAGUGAAAUUUUAUAGGUUAAUGGUUAUAGUUGUAUUUAAUAUGUGUUGUAAAUUUGAACUCGAUCUAACAGUUGAAUUGAGGAUUAUUGAGGUUUAAGUGAGUCAAGGUCUCAAAAAGUAGAAUUUUAGGUCCAGUGAGAAUUUGUAAGAUUUCUUGCAAUCUACUUAUUGGAUUGGAGUGAAAUUUAUGUGAGAGGAUAUUAGACUUGUUUUUCUAUGUGUAUGAGAAUUUUUAAAUCAAUUGAAUGGUAAAAAAG